CAAGACUGCAAAAUUGGAACAGGUACUUGAACCUCAUCCUGUUCUUCCAUUUUCAUUUUCUGUUGUACAAAAGAUAAAUGUUAAAAUGGAGAUACUACUGACAUUUUUAAUACAAUUAUAAGCAUUUUAUUUCAAAAAUACGAGAAGGACCUUAAGGGAAACAUGCAAAGACGCUAAUCAUGGAAAAAACGUUCAGAAACAUUGCAUCUAUGAAGUUUCUAUGGGAAAAGAAUUGUACCAUUGCAUG
rnacentral:misc_RNA from 1 species